GACGAACGCUGGCGGCGUGCUUAACACAUGCAAGUCGAACGGUGAAGCGCCUUCCUUUUUGGUGGGUGUGGAUGAGUGGCGAACGGGUGAGUAACACGUGAGUAACCUGCCCCCUUCUUUUGGAUAACGGCAUGAAGGCUUGGCUAAUACGGGAUAUCCUGGGUCUGUGUCAUGUUGGGACUGGGAAGGAUAUUGUUUCGGGGGGGGAGGGGCUCGCGGCCUUUAGGCUGGUUGGGGGGGUGAUGGCCUACCACGGGGGUGCCGGGUGGCCGGCCUGAGAGGGUGGACGGUCACACUGGGACUGAGACACGGCCCAGACUCCUACGGGAGGCAGCAGUGGGGAAUAUUGCACAGUGGGCGCAAGCCUGAUGCAGCGACGCCGCGUGAGGGAUGGAGGCCUUCGGGUUGUGAACCUCUUUCGCCAGUGAAGCAGGCCUGCCUCGUUUGUGGGUGGGUUGACGGUAGCUGGAUAAGAAGCGCCGGCUAACUACGUG
rnacentral:rRNA from 1 species